rnacentral:rRNA from 1 species
UACGUAGGGGGCUAGCGUUGUCCGGAUUUAUUGGGCGUAAAGAGCGUGUAGGCGGCCAGGUAGGUCUGCUGUGAAAACUCGAGGCUCAACCUCGAGACGUCGGCGGAAACCAUCUGGCUAGAGUCCGGAAGAGGAGAGUGGAAUUCCUGGUGUAGCGGUGAAAUGCGUAGAUAUGUGGAAGAACACCUGUGGCGAAAGCGGUUUUCCAAUUUACACCUGACGCUGAGGCGCGAAAGCAAGGGGAUCAAACAGG